AUUGAGAGGGAGAAGUAGCAAAAGUGAAAACAAAAUUUAAAGGCUAAAAUCUAUUUGAAAUUGUUUUCAAUUUCAAGUUUUUGUUUUCGCUUUUGUUACUCUCAUCUUCCCUUCUC
rnacentral:miRNA from 1 species